GACGAACCGUGCGAACGUUGUUCGGAAUCACUGGGUUUAAAGGGCGCGUAGGCGGGCUGUCAAGUCGGUGGUGAAAUCUUUCGGCUCAACCGGAAAAUCGCCUUCGAUACUGGCGGCCUUGAGGGAGGUAGGGGCAUGCGGAACUUCCGGUGGAGCGGUGAAAUGCGUAGAUAUCGGAAGGAACACCGAUGGCGAAGGCGGGUCUCUGGGCCGAUACUGACGCUGAGGAGCGAAAGCGUGGGGAGCGAACAGG
rnacentral:rRNA from 1 species